CGCCUGUUUAACAAAAACAUUUCUUUUAGGGUUAUUUUAAAGGUACUUCCUGCCCUAUGGUUUAUGUUAUAAUUGCAUGCAGUAUUUCACUGUGCAAACCCAGCAUAAUAAUUAGUUUUUUAAUUGAAGGCUGGUAUGAAUGGAAAAUUGAGAUAUAUAUUUUAUUUAAUAUAUUGUUAAAAUUUAAAUUUUAAGUUAAAAUGCUUAAUUUAAAUGUUGGGACGAUAAGACCCGUAUAGGCUUUAUCAUUAAAUGCUUUGAUUAAUUUUUAUUUAAAAUCUUACUUAAUGUGGAUAAUGUUUUGCUGGGGUGGUAGAUAAAUUAAAACUUUAUUAAUCAAAAUCAUUAUUAGUGUUUUUAUUGAUCUAUUUAAUAAAUAAAAAAGAAUAAGUUACCUUAGGGAUAACAGCGUAAUUAUAAUGGAAAGUUCAUAUUUAUAUUAUUUUUUGCGACCUCGAUGUUGAAUUAAGGUAAAUUUUAAGAAGAGUAUUCUUGAGUUUAAGUCUGUUCGACUUUUAAAUCCUUACUUGAUCUGAGUUCAGACCGG
rnacentral:rRNA from 1 species